GCACCACAAGAACGCGUGGAGCAUGUGGCUUAAUUUGACUCAACGCGGGAAAUCUUACCGGGUCCGGACACACUGAGGAUUGACAGGCAAUAUCUAAAUCGUUUAUAAUUCUAUUAUAAUACGCUAUUUAGUGUUAAAUAUGCUAGUCCUUUCAUGAUUAUGUGAUAGGUGGUGCAUGGCCGUUCUUAGUUCGUGGAGUGAUCUGUCUGCUUAAUUGCGUUUCACUAAGGGCCCAUAAAUUCAAGGUAUGUUAGCUAUCGUUUCUCAAUUGACCCCUUAUUUCUAAUAAGCGCGUGUCUUUUAGAGUUUAAACAUUGCGCAUGCUGUUGGGUCCUGAAAGCAACGAACGUGACCGCAACGUCUUAUUGCCUUUAUCUUGUUAUAUUCUAAUUUAAUUAGGAAUAACUAACAGAGGCUAAUUUAAAAUUAGACGGACCGCUGUACUUUUCUUAAACCAGAGGAAGGUUG
rnacentral:rRNA from 1 species